rnacentral:rRNA from 1 species
CCCUUAGAUGUUCUGGGCCGCACGCGCGCUACACUGAUGCAUUCAACGAGCCUAUCCUUGACCGACAGGUCCGGGUAAUCUUUGAAUCUGCAUCGUGACGGGGAUAGAUUAUUGCAAUUAUUAACCUUCAACGAGGAAUGCCUAGUAGGCGCAAGUCAUCAGCUUGCGUCGAUUACGUCCCUGCCCUUUGUACACACCGCCCGUCGCUCCUACCGAUUGGGUGUGCUGGUGAAAUGUUCGGAUCGGCCGUUUGUCGCGGUUUCCGCGGCUCGUGGCUGAGAAGUUCAUUAAACCCUCCCACCUAGAGGAAGGAGAAGUCGUAACA